GUUUGGAUUCUGGCUCAGGAUGAACGCUGGCGGCGUGCCUAAUACAUGCAAGUCGAGCGAACAGACGAGGAGCUUGCUCCUCUGACGUUAGCGGCGGACGGGUGAGUAACACGUGGGUAACCUACCUAUAAGACUGGGAUAACUCCGGGAAACCGGGGCUAAUACCGGAUAAUACAUGAAACCGCAUGGUUUCAUGAUGAAAGACGGUUUUGCUGUCACUUAUAGAUGGACCCGCGGCGUAUUAGCUAGUUGGUAAGGUAACGGCUUACCAAGGCAACGAUACGUAGCCGACCUGAGAGGGUGAUCGGCCACACUGGAACUGAGACACGGUCCAGACUCCUACGGGAGGCAGCAGUAGGGAAUCUUCCGCAAUGGGCGAAAGCCUGACGGAGCAACGCCGCGUGAGUGAUGAAGGUCUUCGGAUCGUAAAACUCUGUUAUUAGGGAAGAACAAGGAUGUAAGUAACUAUGCAUCCCUUGACGGUACCUAAUCAGAAAGCCACGGCUAACUACGUGCCAGCAGCCGCGGUAAUACGUAGGUGGCAAGCGUUAUCCGGAAUUAUUGGGCGUAAAGCGCGCGUAGGCGGUUUUUUAAGUCUGAUGUGAAAAGCCCACGGCUCAACCGUGGAGGGUCAUUGGAAACUGGAAAACUUGAGUGCAGAAGAGGAAAGUGGAAUUCCAUGUGUAGCGGUGAAAUGCGCAGAGAUAUGGAGGAACACCAGUGGCGAAGGCGACUUUUCUGGUCUGCAACUGACGCUGAUGUGCGAAAGCGUGGGGAUCAAACAGGAUUAGAUACCCUGGUAGUCCACGCCGUAAACGAUG
rnacentral:rRNA from 1 species